AUUUUAUAUUUUUAUUAUAUAUAUAUAUAUUUAAAGUGAUAUUAAUUUUUAUUAUGAGGUUAGAAAAAAUUUAAUUAGUUAUAGAUUAUUUGUACAGUGAUGGAUUAAUUUUAAAAUUUAGAAAGAAGGGUUAGUUUCUCGUACCUUGUGUAUCAGGGUUGAUUUAAAAAUUAUGAUUUAUUUUUUUUUCUCGAAUCUUAAAGAGUUAAAUAUUUAUAUAUUUUGUUGUUAAAUAAACAUUUAUAAUAAAUUUUUUGUAAUGAAACGUUAUUCGUUUUAAGGGGUAUCUAGUUUUUUAAGAAACAAAUUUAAUUUGUAUUUUUGGUAUAUUAAAAAUUUAUUUAGUUAAAUUUUUGAUCAUUAAAAAUAAAUAUUUUAAGGGAUGAGCUUUAAGAUACCUUUUUAUAAAUUUUAUAAUUUAGAUUUAUUAGUAGGAUUAGAAUUUUUUAUCUAUAAUAUUUUGUUAUAAAAAAUAAGUUAAUGAUUUUAAUUUAUAUUAUUUUUAAAUUUUUUAUUAAAAUAUUUUGUUUAGUUAUUAAUCAUAAGGAAUAGUGAUUGAAUUAGUAUAUUUUGUUGUUUUGAUAUUUUAAUUUUAAAAGUUAAUUUAAGGAAUUCGGCAAAUAAUUUUCUGCCUGUUUAUUAAAAACAUGUCCUUAUGAUUGAUAAUUUAAGGUCUGACCUGCUCAAUGAAUAAAUUUAAAUGGCUGCGGUAUUUUGACCGUACAAAGGUAGCAUAAUAAUUAGUUUCAUAAUUGGAAGCUGGAAUGAAUGGUUUGACAAGAAAAUUUCUGUCUCUGGUUGAUUAUAUUAGAAUUUUAUUUUUAAGUAAGAAAGCUUAAAUAUGGUUAAAAGACGAGAAGACCCUAUAGAGUUUUAUUAAAUUUAUUAUUGUUUCGUUUAAGAUUGAUAUUAUGUUUUGAUAUAAAAUUUUUUUUUGUUGGGGUGAUAAAAAAAUUUGGAAAACUUUUUUUAUUAUUUUUCAUUUAUUUAUGUGUAUUUGAUCCAUUAUUAGUGAUUAUAAGAAUUAAUUACCUUAGGGAUAACAGCGUUAUUAAAUUUAAGAGUUCUUAUCGAAAAUUUAGAUUGCGACCUCGAUGUUGGAUUAAAAUUAAUUUUAGGUGUAGAAGCUUGAAAAUUAGGUCUGUUCGACCUUUAAAAUUUUACAUGAUCUGAGUUUAGACCGGCGUGAGCCAGGUUGGUUUCUAUCUUUAAUAAAUUAAUACUUUUUAGUACGAAAGGACCAGAUGUAUAUAACAAUUAUUUUUUAUUGAAUAAUAUU
rnacentral:rRNA from 1 species